rnacentral:rRNA from 1 species
UACGUAGGGGGCAAGCGUUGUCCGGAUUUAUUGGGCGUAAAGAGCUCGUAGGCGGUUCGGUAAGUCGGGUGUGAAACCUCCAGGCUCAACCUGGAGUCGCCACUCGAUACUGCUGUGACUAGAGUCCGGUAGGGGAGCGUGGAAUUCCUGGUGUAGCGGUGAAAUGCGCAGAUAUCAGGAGGAACACCGGUGGCGAAGGCGGGUCUCUGGGCCGAUACUGACGCUGGAGGAGCGAAAGCCGUGGGGAGCGAACAGG